rnacentral:rRNA from 1 species
GAUGAACGCUGGCGGCGUGCCUAAUACAUGCAAGUCGAGCGAACAGACGAGGAGCUUGCUUCUCUGACGUUAGCGGCGGACGGGUGAGUAACACGUGGAUAACCUACCUAUAAGACUGGGAUAACUUCGGGAAACCGGAGCUAAUACCGGAUAAUAUAUUGAACCACAUGGUUCAAUAGUGAAAGACGGUUUUGCUGUCACUUAUAGAUGGAUCCGCGCCGCAUUAGCUAGUUGGUAAGGUAACGGCUUACCAAGGCAACGAUGCGUAGCCGACCUGAGAGGGUGAUCGGCCACACUGGAACUGAGACACGGUCCAGACUCCUACGGGAGGCAGCAGUAGUGAAUCUUCCGCAAUGGGCGAAAGCCUGACGGAGCAACGCCGCGUGAGUGAUGAAGGUCUUCGGAUCGUAAAACUCUGUUAUUAGGGAAGAACAAAUGUGUAAGUAACUAUGCACGUCUUGACGGUACCUAAUCAGAAAGCCACGGCUAACUACGUG